CCAUGGCUUCACCUCCCACCUGAAGGUGCAGACUUGCACCAAGCAGGGCACCGUGGUGGCUGGUUUGACAGCUGCAUGGCAGUUUUCCUCUGGCACCAUGGUCUCCUUGCCAUGGACAAACUGGACACAAGACACAAUCCUCUGAGCUACACCCAAGUCACACGACACAGAGCAGGGUGACGUCUUGAAUACCUUCCACCUGGACAAGUCACAGUGCGGUCCAGGCAGCAGCAGCUCCUCCAUCGUGGGCAGAAGGUCAGGGGUCAGGUGAAGGCGGUAUUCCAGGCGGUUAUCAUCCAGUGGGGAGGGACAAGCAGCUGUGGAGCCAAAGGGAGGCGGACUGUCUGACUCACAGCGAGUCCCGUCCACAAACUGAGAGCCACGGCUCACUAUGAAGUUUUCUCCAUCUGACUGGCACAUAUAUCUGCACUGCUCAUCCCCUGGUUUCGACAAGGACAGUUUACAGAAGAAAAUGUUGGCAAUAUGUUUUCUUGUCAUUUAAAAAAAAAUAAAAUGAGUUUUUUUUGAGCCCACCUUGUGCAAA